AAAAACUCCUGACCAUCAGGAGUUUUCUAUUUUUACCACUUUUUAGCCGUGUCUUUUGCAGUGUCUUUCCAAUAUUGAAUUCGCGCACGUUGCAAUUGGGCUUUUCUUGUUCUUUUCAUAAAAUACUUCCUUUAAUCACUCGCUCAUCUUUGAGCUGCUGUCAUAAUUCUUAAUGGCCUAUUCAAUCUAUAGUAGAGUUGAGCUCUUUGCGAGGAUCAAGAUCACG
rnacentral:misc_RNA from 1 species